rnacentral:rRNA from 1 species
AUGACUGGCAAAAGAGGGAUAGAAUUUAGUGAUGAAAUUGCAAUCGAAUAUGACAUGAGGAUCAAGGUGGGUGAACAAGAAAAGCAUGAUAUGAAACUGAUCGAUGGUGCAUCAGUCAUUGGCAAAGUGGACUCAUCGCAUCGUCACACACUCAGAAGAUGCAUCCAUGGCGACUCUGGUGCAAUUGACACAUCAAUAUCACAUCUUGAACAUGUCGUUGAGGUGACUAUAGAAGUUCUCAUAACAGAAGUGCAAACGGGUUUCAAUUUGUGUCUUGGUUGUUUUACGAGUGGGUUGAAUGAAGAAAUCCGACUCUUCAAUGGUACCAUUGGCAAGUCACAAUGCUUAAAGAGGUAUGUGGUUGUUGUAGCCGUACAUUCUUGGAUGUAGUUGAAGUUCAAGGUAGGCCCAGAGUCGUCAAAUUCCGCUGAACACUGUUGUUCCUUCAGGGCGGAUAACCAUGGGCUUACUACACAAAAGAUAAAGACUAAUCAUGCAUUAAUCUCAGUGAACGUAGCUUGGUCCCCUUUGCCUCGAGCUAUGUUUGUCUAG